rnacentral:rRNA from 1 species
UACGUAGGGUGCGAGCGUUGUCCGGAAUUAUUGGGCGUAAAGAGCUCGUAGGCGGUUUGUCGCGUCUGCUGUGAAAACUCGGGGCUUAACUCCGGGCCUGCAGUGGGUACGGGCAGACUAGAGUGCGGUAGGGGAGACUGGAAUUCCUGGUGUAGCGGUGAAAUGCGCAGAUAUCAGGAGGAACACCGGUGGCGAAGGCGGCCCACUGGUCCGGUACUGACGCUGAGGUGCGAAAGCCAGGGGAGCAAACGGG